rnacentral:rRNA from 1 species
UACGAACGCUGGCGGCGUGCUUAACACAUGCAAGUCGAACGGAAAGGCCCUGCUUGCCGGGUACUCGAGUGGCGAACGGGUGAGUAACACGUGGGUGAUCUGCCCUGCACUUCGGGAUAAGCCUGGGAAACUGGGUCUAAUACCGGAUAGGAGCCAUUUUUAGUGUGAUGGUUGGAAAGUUUUUUCGGUGUAGGAUGAGCUCGCGGCCUAUCAGCUUGUUGGGGGGGUAAUGGCCUACCAAGGCGGCGACGGGUAGCCGGCCUGAGAGGGUGGACGGCCACAUUGGGACUGAGAGACGGCCCAGACUCCUACGGGAGGCAGCAGUGGGGAAUAUUGCACAAUGGGCGCAAGCCUGAUGCAGCGACGCCGCGGGGGGGAUGACGGCCUUCGGGUUGUAAACGCCUUUCGCUAGGGACGAAGCUUUUUGUGACGGUACCUAGAUAAGAAGCACCGGCUAACUACGUG